UGAUGGCAAAGAAGGAUGCUUGAGUAUUGUACUAAAAAGAAAAUGGCAUUUGCCAUUUUCCUACUCUUUAGUAUUUCUGUAAUAAUAUUGGUUGUUGAAAGUGCAUGGCCAACGCAACACAAAAUAAAAGAAGUUAAAUUUCCAUCUAAUCUUGUUAAGCUGAACAAAUCAUGUCCCUCAAAGAAAGCAAAAGCUCUGACAGAAUGUGAGAGAUGCAGUAAAGAUGAACUGGUAAA